UUCACCACUAAGAAAAGAAUUGAUAAUUUCAUUUCUCACUGUUUCCUUUACCAUUAGUUGCCUAAUUCUUGUGAUAAUCUUAUCACUUAAUAAACUUUUAUAAUCUUUUCUUGUAAGCUAUUGAUCCUUCACCGUUAAGAAACAAAAGAGCAAAGGAUAAACUUUGCUUCAUUCAACUAGAAAACAAAACCCACCUCUUGCUUCUCUAUUCCCCUCACGGUUAAGAGCUUUAUAAUACAAAGUCUAAUUUUGCCUUUCCAUAUAAUUGGUCACUCAAAACCCCAUGAUUAUCAAUUUAGCAAAUCUUGAUCUUAUCUUCUUCUUUCUUCCAAGUUCAUUCUAGCAACCAUAUUACUCUAUAUAUAUAUAAAACGUCACCACCGUUCACUAGUGUCAUUAACUCAUUAUAUACUUUCUUUUCUCCUUUCGUAAACUUUCUUGUCAAACUAAUGAAAAUGGCCUUCUAAGACCCAUUACCUUAUUGCUUCGUAUACUACUAAUUAGCCCAAGAAGAAUCGGACCUCGGAGCUUAGUGAGAACGAUAGAAUAAAGGCUAACAGGAAGGUUAUCAUACUGUAAAUCGAGGUACUGCUAGGGAUGAUGGAGACGAGUAGUAGCGAGGAUUUUACUUUCAGUUAUCACUUAAUAGUAGUUAUAGUUUUAAUUUGUUUAAUUUGAAUAGUAAGACUAAGCUACUUAGUAAAGUUUGAGAUAAGAUAGGAUUUUCUAUUAUAAAAAUUAAGAAUAAUGUUUGUUAUAAAUAGAUUACUAUGUUUUAUAAAUCAAGUUUGUUAAUUAAGUAUGUUUGUUGCCUUGUAAAUCUCGUGAGGGAUUUACGGCAGUGA